UACGUGGGGGGCAAGCGUUGUUCGGAAUUACUGGGCGUAAAGGGCUCGUAGGCGGCCAACUAAGUCAGACGUGAAAUCCCUCGGCUUAACCGGGGAACUGCGUCUGAUACUGGAUGGCUUGAGUUUGGGAGAGGGAUGCGGAAUUCCAGGUGUAGCGGUGAAAUGCGUAGAUAUCUGGAGGAACACCGGUGGCGAAGGCGGCAUCCUGGACCAACACUGACGCUGAGGAGCGAAAGCCAGGGGAGCGAACGGG
rnacentral:rRNA from 1 species